CCUACGGGAGGCAGCAGUGAGGAAUAUUGGUCAAUGGACGAGAGUCUGAACCAGCCAAGUAGCGUGAAGGAUGACUGCCCUAUGGGUUGUAAACUUCUUUUAUAUGGGAAUAAAACGUUCCACGUGUGGGAUUUUGUAUGUACCAUAUGAAUAAGGAUCGGCUAACUCCGUGCCAGCAGCCGCGGUAAUGCGGAGGAUCCGAGCGUUAUCCGGAUUUAUUGGGUUUAACGGGAGCGUAGGUGGAUUGUUAAGUCAGUUGUGAAAGUUUGCGGCUCAACCGUAAAAUUGCAGUUGAAACUGGCAGUCUUGAGUACAGUAGAGGUGGGCGGAAUUCGUGGUGUAGCGGUGAAAUGCUUAGAUAUCACGAAGAACUCCGAUUGCGAAGGCAGUUCACUGGACUGCAACUGACACUGAGGCUCGAAAGUGUGGGUAUCAAACAGGAUUAGAUACCCCUGUAGUC
rnacentral:rRNA from 1 species